rnacentral:rRNA from 1 species
ACACAUGCAAGUCGAGCGGUAACAGAAAAGUAGCUUGCUACUUUGCUGACGAGCGGCGGACGGGUGAGUAAUGCUUGGGAACAUGCCUUGAGGUGGGGGACAACAGUUGGAAACGACUGCUAAUACCGCAUAAUGUCUACGGACCAAAGGGGGCUUCGGCUCUCGCCUUUAGAUUGGCCCAAGUGGGAUUAGCUAGUUGGUGAGGUAAUGGCUCACCAAGGCAACGAUCCCUAGCUGGUUUGAGAGGAUGAUCAGCCACACUGGAACUGAGACACGGUCCAGACUCCUACGGGAGGCAGCAGUGGGGAAUAUUGCACAAUGGGCGAAAGCCUGAUGCAGCCAUGCCGCGUGUGUGAAGAAGGCCUUCGGGUUGUAAAGCACUUUCAGUCAGGAGGAAAGGGUGUGAGUUAAUACCUCAYAUCUGUGACGUUACUGACAGAAGAAGCACCGGCUAACUCCGUGCCAGCAGCCGCGGUAAUACGGAGGGUGCGAGCGUUAAUCGGAAUUACUGGGCGUAAAGCGUACGCAGGCGGUUUGUUAAGCGAGAUGUGAAAGCCCCGGGCUCAACCUGGGAACUGCAUUUCGAACUGGCAAACUAGAGUGUGAUAGAGGGUGGUAGAAUUUCAGGUGUAGCGGUGAAAUGCGUAGAGAUCUGAAGGAAUACCGAUGGCGAAGGCAGCCACCUGGGUCAACACUGACGCUCAUGUACGAAAGCGUGGGGAGCAAACGGGAUUAGAUACCCCGGUAGUCCACGCCGUAAA